UCAUCCUACAGAUUUAAUUUCUAAUGGCCCCUAUUCAUUUAAUGAAACCUGGAAAUAAUACCAACAACAUUGUCCUCUUAUACAAUUCUGCCACUUGCAACUAACCCUGACACUCACCAAUCUCAUCUAUCAAUUCAUCAUAUAGUAGUGGUACACUAAAUAGCAACAACUCUUCAAGCUCAAGUUAUGAAGGUUGAGUCACAAACCGUGCCUGGUGGCGUUAGACGCAGAAUUUAGACGUCGUGAGUUUUGAAUUUGAGAAAAUGUAUAUCCAGCUUUUCAAGUACAAAGAUUUUGAAGAUUGAAAAAGUAAAAUCUCACUCUUGUUACUCUUAUCGAGACUUUCCAAAUUCAUGUCGAUAAAAGGUGUCGCAAUGGUGGUGGAAAAACAAUCUAUUGUUGUCAGCCUAAGAGAGGUGAAUACCUGUUGGAAUUCUACCCUCUUGAAUUCUUCAAAUGAACACGUACAGAUAACGUGUUUCUAUUUAUUUGAAAUUUAACAACAAAGAAUUCGAACAACACUUUGUAUACUUAUUUAUAAACUUUAAACAAUACCACGAUUACAAAGCUAUGUAACCUAAGAAAUUAUAAACUCUAAUUACUAGAGGAAUUAUAAACUCUAAGUUCUAGCUA